GACGAACGCUGGCGGCGUGCUUAACACAUGCAAGUCGAACGAAGAGCGAUGGAAGCUUGCUUCUAUCAAUCUUAGUGGCGAACGGGUGAGUAACGCGUAAUCAACCUGCCCUUCAGAGGGGGACAACAGUUGGAAACGACUGCUAAUACCGCAUACGAUCUAAUCUCGGCAUCAAGGAUAGAUGAAAGGUGGCCUCUACAUGUAAGCUAUCACUGAAGGAGGGGAUUGCGUCUGAUUAGCUAGUUGGAGGGGUAACGGCCCACCAAGGCGAUGAUCAGUAGCCGGUCUGAGAGGAUGAACGGCCACAUUGGGACUGAGACACGGCCCAGACUCCUACGGGAGGCAGCAGUGGGGAAUCUUCCGCAAUGGACGAAAGUCUGACGGAGCAACGCCGCGGGAGUGAUGACGGCCUUCGGGUUGUAAAGCUCUGUUAAUCGGGACGAAAGGCCUUCUUGCGAAUAGUGAGAAGGAUUGACGGUACCGGAAGAGAAAGCCACGGCUAACUACGUG
rnacentral:rRNA from 1 species